CUCUGCGCGCUAAUCAGAGACCGGGGCUGAAUAUUUAAAUAACUGCAGUCAGGUACCUGAAGUAGCGCGCGAAGU
rnacentral:pre_miRNA from 2 species